AUUUUUUAUUUUGUAAAAGCAAACAUUCAUUCAGAAACAUGAAACUUUUGUUUUGUAACUAGCAGACUUCCAAAUUGAAAAAAUCUAAGUACAAGUUUCAAAUCAAAACUCACAAAACACACAUUUCAUUCUACAGGUACAAACCUCACAUCCUACAGUGUUACGGAUCAUUUUGUCUCGAUUCUAGCGCCAGUGGGAGGAACUUGGGUGGAACCAAUGAGAGCACGACUCUUAGCUACCAAUCACGUUUCUCGAAUUCCUGUCCAAUCACUGGGAGAGGAGGGCAGGGUUUUGUCAGAGCCGUAAAGAGUUACGACACUCCAAGACUCCUAUGGAAUGGGGAAGUCACGUGGUUCACGUAGUGUCGAAUAGUUCCAAACAGCCCCGCUGCUGCAUUGACUGCAGUUCAUUUCAACUAUUCGGUGUUUCGGAAGGAUUUUCUCCGAACAAGGCUAUCCCAGCAUGCUUUGCGCGCCGGCUGUGGAUUUUCAACAGGCAGAGAAAAUGGGGAGAGCUAUGAAGUUUUAAACGACUGCAGGUGUCCAGGGUCAGGAGAGGCUUUACCUGUCCUGGGAGAGAGGCCUUCUACUGUCAUCAUGUUAUUGUUAUUUAGCUGUUUGAUAUUUGAACACAUUUAUUAAAACAAAUACUAACUGAGAA